rnacentral:lncRNA from 1 species
CUUGGUGACGGCAUCCACUCCUUAUCCUCGGCCUUGCCUCCGCGAGCUCCGCAGCCUUGGCCCCGGCCGCGUCCACGGCCGCGACUCCGGCCCCCGAUGCCACUGCCGAAGCCUCCGCGGAAGCCACCAUUGUUCCCCAUCCCAGUGCCCCCAGGGCCUCCGGGCCCCCGCGCUGCACCGGCAUCAUCCGCCAUUUGUUUUCUCGGAUAAGAAGCUAAGAAUGGCAGCAGAAUGCUCCGUCACUAUAUGCAGAAACAAGACAACUUGAAGCUAAAUGGAAGCCCUGCAGAGUCAACAGGUCCAGAUUCACAGUGCACGCCCUGAGCUACAGCCCCUCCAAAAGGCAUCUUCCCCCAGAGCCUCAAUGCCAAGCAAGGAGCCGUCAAGAGUCUGCCUUGGUUGUUUUGUUCUUUUUACAAACCGUACAGAUAUACAAUUG